CCUCCUCGAUCUGCUGCGGGCAGAUAUAGUGGAUAUGGGCAUCCAUGCCGCCCGCCGUGAGGAUCUUGCCCUCGCCCGCGAUAACCUCCGUCGAGGGACCGACGACGAUGGUGACGCCGGGUUGCGUAUCCGGGUUGCCCGCCUUGCCGAGGGCGGCGAUGCGGCCGUCCUUGAGGCCCACAUCGGCCUUGAAGAUGCCGGUAUGGUCGAUGACCAGCGCAUUGGUGAUGACCGUAUCGACGGCACCUUCGACACGCGUCGCCUGGCUCUGGCCCAUGCCGUCGCGGAUG
rfam:Shinella sp. HZN7, complete genome.